GACGGAGGAUGCAAGCGUUAUCUGGAAUGAUUGGGCGUAAAGCGUCCGCAGGUGGCAGUUCAAGUCUGCUGUCAAAGACCGGGGCUUAACUUCGGAAAGGCAGUGGAAACUGAACAGCUAGAGUAUGGUAGGGGCAGAGGGAAUUCCUGGUGUAGCGGUGAAAUGCGUAGAGAUCAGGAAGAACAUCGGUGGCGAAGGCGCUCUGCUGGACCAUAACUGACACUCAGGGACGAAAGCUAGGGGAGCGAAUGGG
rnacentral:rRNA from 1 species